GGGGUGAUACUCAAGUGGUCAACGAGAACAGACUGUAAAUCUGCUGGUUUAACCUUCGUAGGUUCGAAUCCUACUCUCCCCA
rnacentral:tRNA from 2 species